rnacentral:misc_RNA from 1 species
AAAAAAAAAAAAAAAAAAAAAGUCAUAAUUUCCCCAAAUAUUCAUUUCUCGCAGAAGAAAUCAGAAAAUAUUCUCAAUUUCUCAGCAUCCAAACGCCCUUCAUCAGCAUCACCAUCAUCAUUAUCAUCAUGUUGUGGAUGGAGAUCCUUUGUGGUCUAAUCAUUUACAAGUUGUACCGCCGCUUCUUCUCCGACGAUGACGAUCUUUUGGAGGUCGAAUCCUCGGAUACCACUGCUCUUUUCAACGUUGCUAAUAGACUUGAAAAGCUUUAUGGAGGAAAGGUGUAUGUCGGUCUUCGAAUUCCAGAUGCUGAUACUGGUUCACGACAGAACGUGGAUAUGGUACUUGUUACCAAAGGGGAGGCAGUGGUGAUCUCUGUCAAGAAUUUGUCAGGAUUGGUAACAAUUAGUGGUGAUGGCAGCUGGGUUUGUGAAAGUAGUAAACACAAGGCAGAGCAUUUUCCUGAUCCUGUGGGGGAGACAAAGAAACAAGCAUCUGUUCUUGAAUCAUAUUUAGAACAAAGGGGAGUUGCUCUACCAGAAGGAUAUUUGUCUUACAAAGUUGUGCUUCCAAAUCCAAAGUUCUGGUAUGUGUUGAACCUUCUUAAGGAUGUAUUUAUUAACAUGGUGAAAGGGAAUUAUUGAAAUGAGCUCACAUACACCCGCACACACGUGCCGAUCCUGGACAAGGUAUGUUCUGGUUUGAGAUUUGCACUUUGGGCUUUGUGGUUGUGGCUACAAUUUUUCAUUAGAUUAUUGGAAUUUUUUUUGCUUGUCUGAUUUAAUAUAACUGGAUUCAAUAUGCCUUAAAUAUCCUUUAUUAUGUCUUCUAAGAGGUUUGGAGUAAUUGGGUUUUAGCAGUGAACAACUUCAUUUAAUAUUAGGGCGACUAACUUUCAUAAUAUUUGAGGCACAAUUAUGGUUCUUUAACCCGUUAUAUACAAUCUCAGGUCACCUCCUUAAUGUUGUGACGCAGCAUGAAGCUUAGAUAAACACAACAAACACAAGUGCUUUAGAGAAAAUCUCUGCUGAAAUUUUAUUAACUGAAAACUCAAAAAACUGAAAACAUGGUUGUCAAAUCAAGAUUCAGAGAUUCGAAUAGGGAAUCAAAAUCUUUAUUUUGUUAAUCAAGAAUCAAGAAUUGAAUUGAAUCGAAUCGUAAGAUUCGAUAAAAAUUCUCAAAAUUAAUUGAAAAUGAUAUAUAUUCUAAAAAAAAUAAGUCAAAAAAUGUGUCACAAUAAUAUAUUUUGAUAAAUAUAGAAUUAUCGUUUAGCUAAU